CUUAAAAGUGUAUCAUCCAAGAUGCGUAGGAAAACGGAAAAACUCCAUGGACUCUGGAAUGGGCUGGACUUGUAGAAGGCAUUCUUGUGCAUUGUGCUAUGGUACCUCAACGUUUUAUUGCCUUUGUUGUCCACAUACAUCAUGUGAAUAUUGCCUAGGUGAUUCUGAACUUGCACCACUAGGAGAUUCGAAUGGCUUGUGCAAGAGCUGUGUAAUGCGUAUUCUGGCAGAAGAAAAAUCAGAAUAUGGUUUAGAGGGAGAGAAAACAGACUUAGAGGAUCAAGAUGAACGGUGGCGAUUCAAAGAAUAUUGGGAGAUCGUAAAGGAAAAAGAAGGAUUGACUUCAGAAGAUGUUAAUUCAGCAAAAUCCAUUUUAGAGAAGAGAAAAAAUUGUUAUAUUGAUGAGAGUGAUGAAACAGUGAGCUCUGAUACGACCAUAACAUCUGAUGAAAUGAAAGCGAGUCCUAGAUUCGAAAAGAGCUGUUUUGCAUCUAUUAUUCCUGAGAAUAUGAGGCUUGUUUACAUAAAGAAGAGCUUACUGGAGAAAUUACUGAAGGAGCCUGAUCAUUCGGAAAGCAAGUUACUAGGGAGUUUUGUGACAGUGAAAAAUAACCCCCGGGACAGUAUUCUGAGAAAUGAUUACCAUACUCACCAAUUUUCACAAGUUAAAGGCAUAAAGGAAAUCUCAGCAACCAAUUAAUGGUGAGAGCAGUAAAAUUCAACUGCAAGUUUCCAAUUUUCUAUAAGAUAUUCCCCUUUCUCGGCUUUCAGAUCACGAGCUCAGUAAGGAAGAGUGUGAAGAUUUGCGCCAAAACAUAGCAUAUGGCCAUCUAAAGAAACCUGCAUUUGUUGAGCUGGAAAAGAAGGCAAGAGAACUGCAUCAGGACAUAACUAAGCAUUGGAUUGAAAAGGAGUUGGAGAAAUUGCAGAAUUGCAUUGAUUGGGCAAAUGAGAAGGGAAAGAGAAAAGAAUAUCCUUCAAUAGUACUUAUGAUUUGUUUUUCCAUCAUUCUUAAUGCAAAUUAAUUUUGAUGUUUUAUAAUGAUCAAUAGACACAUUACACCUGCAGUCAUCAGUAAAUGAGCACCAGAACUCUCUUGCUAUUUUUGUAACUAUUUCAUUCAGUCCAAGGUUUUUGAAUUUUGCAUUGUGAUUAGGAGGAAUAUGGUUCUAAUAAGCUUGAUAUA